rnacentral:lncRNA from 1 species
CAAACCACAUCACCCCUGUUAGAGGUGGAGGAUUUGCUGUGCCCCACUCACUGCCACCCCCACUGCCACCAGGGCAGUCAUGUCUCACAUGGUGCGACAUUUGGUAUCCCCACUCCUUCACCCACUUGUGCCUUCAGAGAGGACUCGGAGCCCUCAGGAGAGCUACAGGGUAGUCCCGUAAAUAGCCAGGGGCCAGUGAGAUGAUGUACUCUGAGGAGAGGCUUCCCACAAUACAAACCUUAGGUGUCAAAUGUGCUAUGAGGACACUGAGGCAUUGUACCCUCAGCACCUGUGGCAGGUAGGUGGGGCCCAGGCCAGCCACAACAGCCCUUUCAUUUCCCCAUGGUGCUGUCCCAAUGUCAUAAUUUUCUUUGUCAUGAUAUGGGAAGCACUGCCUGAUGGGGCCCCACCUCCAGCACAUUGGCUGUCUCUCUGUCACUUGGCUUCCUGAAUGGUAUUUAAACGCCCCCCGCAUCACUGUUGGGUCUCAGCAAACUCUCUGGCCUCUUGUUCAAUUUGCCCUCUGCAUACUGGGAAGGCCUAUUUAACUUUGCCUGGCAUCUGUGUGGAAGAAACACUUCUUAGGCAAAGAGCUCCUGGAAGACAAUCUCCCUAGCAACAAUGAAGCAUCCUCUCUACAGUCUUUUCUGCCUCUCUUUUGUUGUUAUCUGGAUGACAGGGAUUGAAUCUGGCCUCUGCCCAUAUCAAAUGCUGUCUGGGGCUGGAAACAAGCCUCAAAACAUGUUUUAAAUAUUUUAUUUCCCCCCGUCUCCCCUAAGUCUGCCCACCAUGCAUACGCUUGAUUAAAGUUAUGCCCCAGUGAUCAACUGUGAGUGACAGUGACCCUCCUAAAGGUAGUCUACUUAGCCUCUGGGCUCAGGCAACACACCUGUGUCUGAUUAGACACUGUUACCCUGCUUGAACCUGUGCCACAUGAAAGCAGCUUUCUCUUGUGCUCUGGUAGUGGGAGAUGCUUUCUUGUAAUGUUAAUGCAGGGCUAGACUUUUCUCCUGCUGAUCCUUUGCCUGGAAUGUUCUCCUCUUCCUUGUCACCAGCCAGAGCACCACUAAAUCAGUGUAAACUCCUUAAGGGAAGACUAAAGUCCUGGGAAGUGGGGUCAUCCUGGCCUUAUCUCCUUAAAGAACCUAACUCUUCAAGGGGGUCUUCCCUGUUAACCCUCUGUAUUAGUUGGCUAGGGCUGCAGUUGCCAGUACCAUGAACUGCGUGACUUAAACAACAGAAACUAAUUGUCUCACAGUUUUGGAGAUCAAGAUCAAGGUGCCAGCAGGUUUGGUUUCUCCUGAGACCUCUUUCUUUGGCUUGCAGAUGGCCACCUUCUUGUUGUGUCCUCCCAUGGCCUUUCAUCUGUGUGUGUGCAUCCCUAAUGUCUCUUCCCCUUUUUAUAAGGACGUGAGUCCUAUCCAAUUAGGGUCCCACCCUUAUGAGCUCAUUCAGCCUUAAUUACUUCUUCAAAGGCUUUAGCUCCAAAUAUAGUCACACUGAGGGUUAGGGCUUCAACAUAUGAAUUUUAAGGGAACACAGUUCAGUCCACCUCAUUAUCCUUAACGUUUUCCAUUUUUCUGUAUUCUCUCCAGUGCUUGGGUAUUGCAUCAGUUUCCUAUAAUUGCUUUAGCAAAUUACUAAAAACUUGGUGGCUAUAAACAACAGAAAUUUAUUGUCUCACAGUUCUAGAGGCCAGAAGUCUGAAAUCGGUGUCACUGGGCCGAAAUCAAGCUGUCAGCAAGGCUGUACUCCCUCCAGAGGCUCUAGGGGGAAAUCUGUCCCUUGCCUUUUUCACUUUUUGGUGGCUGGCAGCAUUCCUUGAUUUCUGGAUGCAUCAAUCCAUCCUCUGUGGUCACAUUGUCUACUCCUCUUCUGGUCAAAUUUCCCUUUGCCUCUCUCUUAUAGGGACAAUCGUGAUUGCAUUUAGGGUCCACCCAGAUAAUCCAGACUAAUGCCCCAUCUCAAGAUCCUUAACUUAAUCAUAUCUGUAAGGCCCCUUUUACCAAAUAAGGUGACAUUUAUAAGUUCCAGACAUUAGAAUCUCCUAUCUUGGGGGCCAUUAUUCCACCAGCCACAGGAGUAUUGUUCAUAAUAUAUCAUUUGAUGUUUAAACAAAUGAUGUAUCAUUUGAUGUUUAACAGCUGACCUACAAAAAGAGCCCUUGUUGCAAGGGCAGGAGACACAAAGAUGUUUUUGCUGGGUGUGUUCAGACAAGAUCACACCCUUCAUACCAUAAUCUAGAGCCUUGGCUCUGUCCUCCCACAUGACCUUCGCCUGAGGGGAGGGGCUGGGGACUAGGGAGCCAAGGAGUCUCCCUGGGGAGGUGAGGUUUCAGAUGAUCCAGGGGUUGGAAGAAGUUUCUCCCAUGCAUUUUUAUCUCAUGGCUGGUUAAGAGGGGUGGGCAUCCCACUCCCGGAAGCCAUUUCACUUUGAAUACUUUGUUUACUUCUGGUUAGAAGAGUCUUCAGGAGUGUGGGCUCUGAACUCAAAGCUCUUUUUUCCCCCAGUGACCCUUUUGGCAAUGAAUCACGUGCAUAUUUUGUGACACACUCCAAUAAUCACUUCAUGGAACUUCCCAAAUGGCUCUGCCAUGACCUCUUCCCUCAGGCGCUCCUCCCAC